rnacentral:rRNA from 1 species
CUUGAACGCUGGCGGCAUGCCUAACACAUGCAAGUCGAACGAGUGGCGGACGGGUGAGUAAUGUGUGGGAAACUGCCUGAUGGAGGGGGAUAACUACUGGAAACGGUAGCUAAUACCGUCAACCAUCAGAGGUGGCAAGAUGGGAUUAGCUGGUUGGGGGGGUAACGGCUCACCAAGGCGACGAUCACUAGCUGGUCUGAGAGGAUGACCGGCCACACUGGAACUGAGACACGGUCCAGACUCCUACGGGAGGCAGCAGUGGGGAAUAUGGCGCAAUGGGCGAAAGCCUGAUGCAGCCAUGCCGCGUGUAUGAAGAAGGCCUUCGGGUUGUAAAGUACUUUCAGCGGGGAGGCGUUACCCGCAGUAGAAGCACCGGCUAACUCCGUGGCAGCAGCCGCGGUAAUUC